CCUGCGGAAGGAUCAUUACAGAAUGAAAGUGCUUAACUGCAUUUUUUUACACAUGUGUUUUUCUUUUUUUUUGAAAACUUUGCUUUGGUGGGCCCAUGGCCUGCCAGAGAUUAAACUCAACCAAAUUUUUAUUUAAGUCAACUGAUUAACUAAUAGUCAAAACUUUCAACAACGGAUCUCUUGGUUCUCGCAUCGAUGAAGAACGCAGCGAAAUGCGAUAAGUAAUAUGAAUUGCAGAUAUUCGUGAAUCAUCGAAUCUUUGAACGCACAUUGCGCCCUUUGGUAUUCCAAAGGGCAUGCCUGUUUGAGCGUCAUUUCUCCCUCAAACCUUCGGGUUUGGUGUUGAGCGAUACGCUGGGUUUGCUUGAAAGAAAGGCGGAGUAUAAACUAAUGGAUAGGUUUUUUUCCACUCAUUGGUACAAACUCCAAAAUUCUUCCAAAUUCGACCUCAAAUCAGGUAGGACUACCCGCUGAACUUAAGCAUAUCAAUAAGCGGAGGAA
rnacentral:rRNA from 1 species